rnacentral:rRNA from 1 species
GCCUACGGGAGGCAGCAGUGGGGAAUAUUGCACAAUGGGGGAAACCCUGAUGCAGCGACGCCGCGUGAAGGAUGAAGUAUUUCGGUAUGUAAACUUCUAUCAGCAGGGAAGAAAAUGACGGUACCUGAGUAAGAAGCACCGGCUAAAUACGUGCCAGCAGCCGCGGUAAUACGUAUGGUGCAAGCGUUAUCCGGAUUUACUGGGUGUAAAGGGAGCGCAGGCGGCACGGCAAGCCUGAUGUGAAAGCCCGCGGCCCAACCGCGGGACUGCAUUGGGAACUACCGGGCUGGAGUGCCGGAGAGGUG